rnacentral:lncRNA from 1 species
GAAAAAGAAGAAAAAAAAUCAAAAAAGAAGAAGAAAAAUAAUCGAAUCAGAAUCGAAGAAGAAUCGAAGAAGAAUCGAAGAAGGAUCAAAGAAGAAGAAUUGAUGAAGAAGAAGAAGAAUCAAAGAAGAAGAAAUAGAAGAAUAAGAAGAAGAAGAAUCGAAGAAUAAGAAUAAGAAUAAGAAGAAGAAGAAGAAGAAAAAUGACUGGAAAAAUGAAGAACGAUGAAUGAAGAAUAACGAACGAUGAACACUGAAACCCUUCAUCUGUAGAAGUUCAUCCAAAGGAGUUCCCAUUAAAGAUUGAAGCUAGGAUUGAACUAGAAGAUUAAAGCUAGGAUUGAAGCUAGAAGAUUAAAAGCGAAGAUUGGAGCAAGAUCGAUUGAUCGUCUCCUCAUCAAGAGAGUGAUUAGGUCGUAUUCUGAUUUGUCCUAUUCUAGUGUAAUGAGUAGCUAAUUCUUUAGAGUUUCUUGGUUGGGAUGUAGGAUUUGAGCCAUGAUAAUCUCCAUAAUAGUAUAGGGUCGACGAUUGUUGGAUAUUUGGAAUUGAAUGAAAGAUUUCUUU